UGACACUAUGCCAGAUGAAUUGGGUUACUUUGAUGUAGUAAAAUAUAGGGUUUAAAUCUCUUGGUGUUAA
rnacentral:tRNA from 1 species